UUACGUGAAAGGUAUUUGCUAGAUAGCAGAUUUAGUCUGAAGGAGUUUGUAGUCUCAAGCUACCUUUGUUUCAGACGGUCUGUCCAUUUUGAUGUUUUUUAUAUACAGGGUAUUAUCUUGAGUACUGGUACAGUUAAGUGGUUCGACGCGGCGAAGGGUUUCGGCUUUAUCGCUCCUGAAGAUGGCAGCAAGGACGUAUUCGUUCACCACACUGCUAUCACUGGCGACGGUUACAAGUCGCUUGAUGAAGGUCAGAAAGUAAGCUUCGACAUGGAACAGGGUCAAAAAGGCCCAGCAGCGGUUAACGUCUCUGCGAUCUAAUCCUUGUCACAUAGACACGGUAAUACCAGCAAGCCCCGCACGUAGCGGGGUUUGCUGG
rnacentral:sRNA from 1 species